CAGUUGAUUCAUGGAAGAUGGGCUAUGCUCGGAGCCCUUGGCUGCAUCACCCCCGAGCUUCUCCAGAAGUACUCCCGUGUGACUCUCAAGGAGCCAGUAUGGUUCAAGGCCGGUGCUCAGAUCUUCAGCGAUGGUGGUUUGGACUACCUCGGCAACCCCAACCUCAUCCACGCUCAGAGCAUUCUCGCUGUGUGGGCCGUCCAGGUCGUACUCAUGGGCGCAGUUGAGGCAUACCGAACCAAUGGUCUUCCCGGAGUCGGUGAGGGUGGCGACCUUUACCCCGGAGGCAAGUACUUCGACCCCUUGGGUUUGGCUGACGACCCCGAGACUCUCGCUGAGUUGAAGGUGAAGGAGCUCAAGAACGGCCGUCUGGCUAUGUUCUCUAUGUUCGGAUUCUUUGUCCAAGCCAUUGUGACCGGAAAGGGCCCCCUGGAGAACUUGUUGGAUCACCUCGCCAACCCUGUUUCCAACAACGCUUGGGCUUUCGCCACCAACUUCACCCCCGGGAACUAGAUUAAGUAAGAUUGUGGUCGACUAGUAUCUGUCCAUUGUAUGGCUGCGUUGCAAGAAGCUGUAACAUAGAGGUAGCCGUUUCUGAUGUCCGUGCUGUUUGCUCCUUCAUGUAAAUGUCGAUUUGUCAGGAAAAUGGAUCCUCAUUCCUCCACUUACGCUUUCCCCACAGGCAGAUCUGUUAUAAAGGUUUCGAAUUUAACUAGUCAUCAUAGUUGAUACCUAAAUCACAAUCAACUAUGAUGACUAUGACGAAUUUGAUUUUGGUACUCUAUCAAGAUUCAGUGAUUAAAUGCCGAGAAAUGAGAUCUAACUACAUCAGCUUUUGAAUCAAAUAUCGUACAUCAAAUCGUUGAUUCUAUGACAACAAUACGAAGUUGGCAGUCUCAAACGUAUCACUGUAAACUAUUAUCAAAUUCAGUUAGACAUAUCUCAAAUCCCUCACAGUUUACUCAAACGCCACCUCUCUCUCACACAUGCACAAAAUUCCGAAUCGCACACUUGCACACCGGAACAUAUCCCGAAUCAGAGUCAUGCCUAUUUACACUGACUAGGAUAGAAUUGAAGGACCAAUAGCCUGGACAGCUCGAAGUUAAAACUGAAGUAC
rnacentral:lncRNA from 1 species